rnacentral:lncRNA from 1 species
UAUGACCUCAUCGCAAAGGACGUCGAAGAACUGUUUUUUGUCGGAUUCAUAAAACACUUUCGACCUUUGUUAACCAAGAAAAGGAUCAGUUUUUUCCCGAGCAAACUUAGUUAGCAUUUACUUAGCAAUCUCAAUAUUAGCAAUCUCAAUACUGUGUAAGAGCAACCUCGAUUCAAAUAUCGACCUCACCUCUCAUUUGCAAUCUCCUUGUAGACUUCGAUUUUCUUUUAAUACAAACGAGAUUUCCGACCUACUCUUAUCCCUUCAAAUUUUUAAUCACCUCUUAAUCUUAUACCGAACUCACACUUUUCAAA